GCCUGGGUGGCUCAGUCGGUUAAGCGUCUGACUUCAGCUCAGGUCAUGAUCUCGCGGUCCGUGGGUUCAAGCCCCGCAUCGGGCU
rnacentral:tRNA from 1 species